CGGGAGGCAGCAGUGAGGAAUAUUGGGCAAUGGAGGGGAAUCUGACCCAGCCAUGCCGCGUGCAGGAAGACGGCCCUAUGGGUUGUAAACUGCUUUUAUACGGGAAGAAACCCACCUACGUGUAGUUGUCUGACGGUACCGUAAGAAUAAGCACCGACUAA
rnacentral:rRNA from 1 species